rnacentral:rRNA from 1 species
UACGUAGGUGGCAAGCGUUGUCCGGAUUUAUUGGGUUUAAAGGGUGCGUAGGCGGUUCCAUAAGUCAGUGGUGAAAUACGGCAGCUCACCUUUCGAGGUGCCAUUGAUACUGCGGAACUUGAGUACUGAUGAGGUAGGCGGGAUGGACGGUGUAGCGGUGAAAUGCUUAGAGAUCGUCCAGAACACCGAUAGCGAAGGCAGCUUACUAAGGAGUAACUGACGCUGAGGCACGAAAGUGUGGGGAUCAAACAGG